rnacentral:rRNA from 1 species
CAUGCCGCGUGCAGGAUGAAGGCCUUCGGGUUGUAAACUGCUUUUGUACGGAACGAAACGGCGAGCUCUAAUACUGUUUGCUAAUGACGGUACCGUACGAAUAANCACCGGCUAACUACGUGCCAGCAGCCGCGGUAAUACGUAANUNUGCGAGCGUUAAUCGGAAUUACUGGGCGUAAAGCGUGCGCAGGCGGUUAUGUANGACAGAUGUGAAAUCCCCGGGCUCAACCUGGGACCUGCAUUUGUGACUGCAUCACUAGAGUACGGGANAGGGGGAUGGAAUUCCNCGUGUAGCAGAGAAAUGCGUAUAUAUGCGGAGGAACACCGAUGGCGAAGGCAAUCCCCUGAGCCUGUACUGACGCUCAUGCACGAAAGCGUGGGGAGCAAACACGAUUACAUACCCUGGUAGUCCACGCCCUAAACGAUGUCCACUGGUUGUUGGGUCUUCACUGACUCAUUAACG